GAGGAGGAUGCAGACUCUGUAGAUUUUUGUAAUUUCUGUUUUCGGCUGUUACCACUCGCGCAUGUUUCUAGUCAUUUGAACUUUCGGCAUUUAUAUUUUGUACAUAUACAAACUUCAACCAUGUGUGGAGGAUUCACAUGUUCCAAGAAUGCUCUUACAGCGCUCAACAUUAUGUAUAUCAUUGUCUCCUUCAUUCUCAUUGGUGUGGCCGCAUAUGGCCGCGUGUCGAGCAUCGUGACAAACAUCACCAUAUUUGGUGCGGUGAUAGCGUGUGGCGUAUUCCUGCUGCUCCUCUCCCUUGUCGGUCUCAUUGGAGCAGUCAAGCACCACCAAGUGCUGCUCUUCUUCUACAUGGUGAUCCUGUUCCUGCUCUUCGUGGUACAGUUCAGUGUCGCCUGUGCCUGUCUGGCCAUGACGGAGGACCAGGAGCGGGAGCUGGCCAGCCAGGGCUGGAAGAAGGCCUCACCUGCCGUCAGGGCCCAGGCAGAGCGCCUAUUCCGAUGCUGUGGCUUUGAACGCAAUGCCUCGGACCCCACAGCGGAGCUACAGUGUGAGCAUGUGCCAACGUGCUGCCCACCACAGGAGAUUCCCCCUAAUGGAACAUGUGAAUGCGAAGGAUGCUGGUCGGCUCUGCAUCAAGCUAUUCGCAAUGGGCUCAAGAUCACAGGUGGCAUAGGAAUGUUCUUCAGCUUCACGGAGUUCAUCGGGGUGUGGUUGACGGUGCGGUACCGCAACCAGAAGGAUCCUCGUGCUAACCCUAGCGCCUUUCUGUAACCACUAACCCCACUCUCCAGUGGCUUCUUGAAAUGGCUCUUUUGCAAGGGGGCUCUCUCUGGUGCCACAAGUUGGUGGCUGUGUUUGUGGCUUACCGUUACCGGCUUCAAAAAGACCCCGAGGUGGAUCCUUACCUUCUGCUGGGUGGAGGAGCCCGUGUCACGUGACAAGCCACCCAUCUCUCUCCCUCUCCUCUGCAUAUUUUCUCUGACAUUCCCCGCACUCCACCACACACACAUGCACAUUGACACCAAAGCCUUUUCACAUUCUUGCUCUUGUAUGUUCUGUGUCUUGUCCUUUUGUUCCCUGUUGAUCUCUGUUCAUUCAGAGUGCUAUUUCCUUUUAUUUUCUCCCCUCUCUCUGGACAUUAUGAUGGUUGCUUUAUGGUAUUAUACGACUGGUCAUUUCAGAGCACCCUGGCAGAGCUGCAAAGGUCUUGUGAGGCAGCAACUAAGUUUUUUUAUGAGUAAAAGUGGGUUUUCUAAUGGAACAAUAAUACCAGAUUAUUGCUGCCAGACGUGCUCAUUCUCAUAGUUCACCUUCAACCUCUUCUAGCUUGUUGUCACAAUUUUGCUGCAUGCUGAAUCUGAGCUCAUAAAUCCAAACGCAUUUCUUAAGUGAGAGAAAUCUUGAUUUCAACGUCAUGCGUGGCCAUCCAGCAAAAAUGCGAGCAAAUCUGUGGCUCAGAAUGCAAUGCUUUGCACAUGGUGUUUCCAAUGAGGGUGAACAAUUAAAGAAGCUCCUGCAGCUGCAUCCAUGCAGGUGCAUAAGUUGAUCUCUGCAAAACAACCUGUCUUACAGACUGCCAUAAGAUGGUUUACUUGGCAAGUUGGCGGUUGUUUAGUGGGAAAACAUGCAAAUACUAUAAGGGCAUUGUUUUGUUCUAGAUGUGCAUUUCAAUUUUCUUCAGUGAGCCUACAAAUUUCACACUGGGAUAGCAAAUGGUGUGAGGCUAAUUUGGCAUGUUUUAACCUCGCAUUUGAGUACUUGUAACUGCAAUUUGAAUGUUUUUCUUCAAGCAAAAAAGUUCAGGCUAUAAGAGGUUAAAGCGCUCCUUCACGACUUUCAUAGCAGUGCCAAAGUGCUUUGAGAUGACCAUUCAAAUGUGCCAUUAGAAUGGACUUUCCUAGAGGAGUGAAGUAGAUCUGUGGAGGAACAGAGAAAAACAGAAAUUGAUUGAAUUUCCUUGCACUGUUGCAAGAUCAGUGGUGACGUCGGGCCACAUUUUGUAAUGACUCUUGACAGUUUAUUGCUCUCGUUGUUUGUCACUGGCUCGUGCGUGCCACUGCUUGUCGUGUCUCACUGCUCUCAGCCAGUCGGCACGAUCGUCAUUGGCACAAGCACAUAGUUGCAUGCCGUCUUUGUCGAGAUCGGCUGCUGAGUGUGAGGGAUGAAAAGAACAAAAUACAUAGUUACAAAAUACGGCCUUUGCUGACGUGGACAGACAUUCUGAUGCCUUUGUUACACGGAUGGCUCUAACCACGCCCGAGGUAACCACAAUUUUAGCCAGCCAUGAUAACUUAGUGGUACUGUGCUUAGCCUCAGUCGUGCUCUUGAUCAGCAGAAUAGAAUAGCAGCCUUCACAUUGGAGCCGUACAGUGAAAUUUCAUUUCCAGUACCCUUGAAAAGUGUAUAUUACUGCAGUUUUAAAUGUUUUGAAUAGAAUUGACAGUGGAACUAUGACAAACUGUAAGAAGAGGAACUGAGGGGCUCGAUUUUUCGUUAGACUCGACCACAUAGUCUAUUAUCUUUUCAUGUGGUUGUGCUUAUACUGAAUGCAUGCAGAUUUUGUGAGUGCAACAACAGCAAACUAGUUAAGCCGAGUUACUUGUGGCUAAAGUGAACUUCACUUGCAGUAUCCGUGUAACAGGGGUGUCAAAAAGCAGUUUUGGAAAUUUUAUGGGUGAGAGAGCAUAGCCAAGUGUGCGAUAAGCAGUCUCAAAAUGUGUGGUGUUCUUGCUCAAUUUCAUAACACUCGGCACACACCUGUACAUUCAGCUGCUGAUGCAUGGCUUACGUGUUUGGAUUUCACCAUCAAUGUUAGUUGUGGGAUUGCAAUACGUAUCAAGUGCAAAAAGGCUUGAAUGGUGGUGUUUCAGAAUGGCAUUGGUGAUGAUACAAUAGUACUGGUGUCAAGCCUCAUUUACAUUGAAUGGGACAAUAUUAAGGAAAUUUCUAAAUUUCUUGAGCUGCAGAUUGUCACAUGCUUUUUGUCAUCUGCUUGCUGCUGCAGGUUUAUAGGUGCAGAUUAAACAUGAAGAGGAAAUAAAUUUUGCCAUCUGAAGCAUGAGUUUUGUCAGAGUUUUGUUGAUAUUAAGUAGGCAACGUGAUUGGCAUUGUGUCCCCACCUCUCACCUGAUAGAAGUCCCAUGUACCUAGCCAAGUCUCUUUCUCAUCCAGCACACAUUCCAUGAAACAGCAACUGCUCAUAGCCGAGCAUGGUUGGCUCUGAUCUCGGCUAUCUGUUUGACAUUUUUGACAGAGGCUGCAUGGUGCACAUAUUCUUGAGUUACACGCAUGUAGAAACGAGUACUUGCAGUUUUUGUAGUAAUGCUACACCUUGUGGCAACAUACAACCGAAAAUAUAUUUGUUGAGUGUGAAAGAACACACAGAUAAGUGUCAAGUGCAUACCUUAUAAAAGACCUCGCUCGUUGUUUCUUUUUUUUUUUUACAUGCAAUUUAUGUUGCUCUAUUGUGUUGUCUCGCUACAUUAUUGCAUUUUGAGGCUGCUGCUCAAGAAGCUUUAAGCGAGUCUUCUAGACCAUUUUUUAUUGUUAUUUCUUUUAGUAGUAUAUAGGGUCUAUGACUGGCAACUUUUUUGCCUUUGUCUGCGCAAAACUUGCCCUUUUGGAAUUUUGAUGCUGCACGGGGCUAAAGCCCUCAUCACAUGCACUUUUUCAAAGAUUGUUCAAAUAGAAGACAAUUAAAAUCUGUGAGCCUCAUUGGCUCCCUUCCGUGACCUUGCACAAAGAUAAGGUUAGCUGAUUUCAUUUGUCUUUGAAAGCGCAUGUGACAGGACUAUAAAAACAAGUGAGGUAUCCUGAUGUGUGGGAAAAAAAAAUUAACAAUGUUGCUUAAAUUUUGUAUCAAGCAAUGCAAAUGCAAGCACAUAGUAAUUGGCAUCCCAAUGUUAAGUUUCAGAAAAACGCCUUGUUACUGAAUGCUUGUACCGUGGAAAGGAGUACACUCAACAAAUUAACUGUGUCUAGGUCUGGCGUUUUCAGCUGGGCAUUGAAGAGUCAUAGUUGGGUUGUGUCCAAAUAUAUAAUAGCAUGCAGUCUGGCAUAGUGUAAACACUGUAGUGUUUAUUGAUUAGUGGUGUGUAAUUUCGCACAUGACCAUAUUAGUGCGUUGCCUCGUAGCAUGCAAUCAUUUGCCAGUUGUACAUGCUUGUCUCACUCCUCUGUGAGUUGACUGUAAUGUGCUAGAAUGGCUUACAAACACUGCAUAAGAUUUUAAUGGCAUUGAAUGUCAGUAGCCAGUUUGCUCAAUAAGCAGACUUAAUUUCCUGCGGUCAAAUUCAAGAAAUCUUUGUGUAUCACUAGGGCAGACUCAAUGCAAGGGAUGAGAAUGGCGGCAAUGCUUUCUUGUGGCAUUAAAUAUUUCAACUAGAAUAUGCUGCAAGCAUUAUGGUUGCAGAAGCCUUAGAAAAACAUUUUAGUGACUGGAGACUCUCUAGCAACGCAUGGCCGCCAUGUACAGAAGGCCCACUUGUUUUGUCAGGCGCUGUGGUUGUUGCAAAGUAUUUUCCAAAAAUGGGGGAUUUAAGACAUGUACCAUUAAUGAGCCCUGCUGCUGUUUUAUCUUUGUGUAAGCUCACUGCAGAUAAUGCAUGUUUCGACUUGUAGUGCUUCGUUUUAGGGACCUUCUCUCCCCGCUGAGCAUGCAUUUCUGUUUUUAUUCUCUGACUGCUUUGUGUUCUCGUUUCCUUUAUUAUCUUGCUUUCAAGUGCUUGCCCAGGUAAUAUGUAGCCUCUCGUUUUUGGCAAUGCCUUGAGCAUACCUUGUAAAGUGAAGUUUUUUACCCUGAAUUUUCAACAACAAAGGAGAUUUAAGUGUAAUUCAUGUUUACCCCCCUAUGUCAUUCUUAUGUUGCUGCUGUAUUAAAGUCUGCUUUAACUUGUAUUGUGUACACGUCAGCCAAACUUGGUGGUUUAUUUUUUCUUUUGCAUUUACUUGCCAGCAAUUUUUAUAGUUGAGUUUGGGAAAGUGUAUGUACAUUGUAAAGGUAAAAGUGGAAAUAUGAUAUUUAGUAGGAAAAAACAUUUUUUUGAAGAUUUGUUUUCUUCAGUUUUAUAAUAAAAUAUUUGUUUCAGUGCA